UACGGGGGGGGCAAGCGUUGUUCGGAAUUACUGGGCGUAAAGGGCUCGUAGGCGGCCAACUAAGUCAGACGUGAAAUCCCUCGGCUUAACCUGGGAACUGCAUCCGAUACUGGAUGGCUUGAAUCCGGGAGAGGGAUGCAGAAUUCCAGGUGUAGCGGUGAAAUGCGUAGAUAUCAGGAGGAACACCGGUGGCGAAGGCGGGAUCCUGGGCCAGUACUGACGCUGAGGAGCGAAAGCGUGGGGAGCAAACAGG
rnacentral:rRNA from 1 species